GCCAGGCACUGUGGUGUGCACCUGUAAUACCACCUACUCAGAAGGCAGAGGCUGGAGUAUCACUUGAACCCAUGAAUGUGGGGCCAGCCUGUCAACAACAUAGUGAGACCCUGUCUCUU
rnacentral:sRNA from 1 species